rnacentral:rRNA from 1 species
UACAGAGGUGGCAAGCGUUGUUCGGAAUUACUGGGCGUAAAGGGCGCGUAGGCGGUCUUGCAAGUCCUGUGUGAAAUCCCUCGGCUCAACUGAGGAACUGCACAGGAAACUGCUUGGCUUGAGUUCGGGAGAGGGAAGCGGAAUUCCGGGUGUAGCGGUGAAAUGCGUAGAUAUCCGGAGGAACACCGGUGGCGAAGGCGGCUUCCUGGACCGACACUGACGCUGAGGCGCGAAAGCUAGGGGAGCGAACGGG